CCUACGGGUGGCUGCAGUGGGGAAUAUUGGACAAUGGGGGGAACCCUGAUCCAGCGACGCCGCGUGAGGGAAGAAGUAUUUCGGUAUGUAAAGCUCUAUCAGCAGGGAAGAAAGAAAUGACGGUACCUGAGUAAGAAACCCCGGCUAACUACGUGCCAGCAGCCGCGGUAAUACGUAGGGGGCAAGCGUUAUCCGGAUUUACUGGGUGUAAAGGGAGCGUAGACGGCGAUGCAAGUCUGAGGUGAAAGGCGGGGGCUCAACCCCUGGACUGCUUUGGAAACUGGAUGGCUGGAGUGCAGGAGAGGUAAGUGGAAUUCCUGGUGUAGCGGUGAAAUGCGUAGAUAUUAGGAGGAACACCAGUGGCGAAGGCGGCUUACUGGACUGUAACUGACGUUGAGGCGCGAAAGCGUGGGGAGCAAACAGGAUUAGAUACCCGAGUAGUC
rnacentral:rRNA from 1 species